rnacentral:sRNA from 1 species
GAAGAAUGGGAAUAAAAUAUAAAAUUAACUUGAAGUGAAAUGGUUGAUUUUACGGUAUUUAAGAGUAUUAUAAAAAGCUAAAAAUCAAUAUUAUUUAUUGGUUACCCACCAAAUACCCCACCAGAUUAUUUUAAAACAACAAUAAUCUGGUGGGGUAUAUUA